GACGAACGCUGGCGGCGUGCCUAACACAUGCAAGUCGAGCGGAGUCAGUAAGAGGAAGUUUUCGGAUGGAAUCUUAUUGAUUUAGCGGCGGACGGGUGAGUAACGCGUGAGCGACCAACCUUGCACAGGGGGAUAACGGACCGAAAGGUUCACUAAUACCGCAUGAGACCACGGUGUUGCAUGACACAGGGGUCAAAGGAGCAAUCCGGUGCAAGACGGGCUCGCGUCCGAUUAGGUAGUUGGAGGGGUAACGGCCCACCAAGCCUAUGAUCGGUAGCCGACCUGAGAGGGUGAUCGGCCACAUUGGAACUGAGAUACGGUCCAAACUCCUACGGGAGGCAGCAGUGGGGAAUAUUGGGCAAUGGGGGAAACCCUGACCCAGCAACGCCGCGUGAAGGAAGAAGGUUUUCGGAUUGUAAACUUCUGUCCUUGGUGAAGAGAAGAAGACGGUAGCCAAGGAGGAAGCCCCCGGCUAACUACGUGCCAGCAGCCGCGGUAAU
rnacentral:rRNA from 1 species